rnacentral:rRNA from 1 species
CGGGGUGCAGCAGGCGCGAAAACUUUACAAUGCAGGCAACAGCGAUAAGGGGACCUUGAGUGCCAGGAUACAAUCCUGGCUGUCGUGAUGCCUAAAAAGCAUUAUAUAGCAAGGGCCGGGCAAGACCGGUGCCAGCCGCCGCGGUAACACCGGCGGCUCGAGUGGUAACCGCUAUUAUUGGGUCUAAAGGGUCUGUAGCCGGCUUGGUUAGUCUCUUGGGAAAUCCGGCAGCUUAACUGUCGGGCUUUCAGGAGAUACUGCCAGGCUCGAGACCGGGAGAGGUGAGAGGUACUUCAUGGGUAGGGGUGAAAUCUUGUAAUCCUUGAAGGACCACCAGUGGCGAAGGCGUCUCACCAGAACGGAUCUGACGGCAAGGGACGAAAGCUAGGGGCACGAACCGGAUUAGAUACCCGGGUAGUCCUAGCCGUAAACGAUACUCGCUAGGUGUCGGCCACGGUGCGACCGUGGUCGGUGCCGUAGGGAAGCCGUGAAGCGAGCCACCUGGGAAGUACGGCCGCAAGGCUGAAACUUAAAGGAAUUGGCGGGGGAGCAC